rnacentral:rRNA from 1 species
CCAUAAAGGUAAUUUUACCCAUCCCAUUUGGCGGCCUUCAAUCUUAUUAAAGGAACUUGUUAUUUAACCGAUGAUACGCGAUAUUCCUAACUUAAAUCCAGUUUUUAUACCGCCGUCCAAAGGGUAAAAUUAGACAUUUUACUCGUUUCUUACCAUACCAAGCAAAAAUGUCAGGUCGAGGUGAAGCUAAUAUUUGAGUUUCAAUGAGUUAUCAAUAAAAAUAAUUUAUGGACUUUUGUUUAAAAACAAAAAUCGAAUUAAGAUUUAAAAGUAUUUUUCAGUUUAUUACAGUGAAAAGAAGAAGCAAAAAAGGUGUACAUAUCGCCCGUCACCCUCGUCCAAAGAUGAGGUAAGUCGUAACACAGUUAAUAUACUGGAAAGUGUAUUAAGCGUAUUAAUUCUAGCUUUAAGCAUUUCACUUACACUGAAAAGAUAUCAUUUAGUUAGAUUCUAAUCUUAUCCAUAAAAUCUUUGUUCUUAUAUUUGUCUUUCCUAACACUUUAAAAACUGAAAAGGAAUUUUAUAAUAUAGUCAAAGUAAAAUUAUGUACCUUUUGUAUCAGGGAUUAUCAAACCACUAUGUUAAUAACAAACUCCCGAAACAAAACGAACUUUGCAUUCUAGUAAAAGUUGUGGCAUAAACAAUAUAAAUUAUGCAAAGUUGAGAUAUUCUUCUCAAGCUCUCCUAUAUCUGGUUCACUUAUCCCCAUAUAACACAAAGAAUAAGCUUUGUGCUCAGGUUUAUAAUUACCACCUCCCAUUCCAAUUUAGAUUUAAUAGUACCCACAUUGUCUUCAAACUUCCCACCUCCAUCCUUCCGAACAAAAAUCAAGUGACCCACCCCAUCAAUCUUACAAUGAUAAUAUCAGUAAAAUUUCCCCCUUCUUUUUUCCUUAAACCCCCCACCCAUUCAUAAAUUAACAUUGAAAUUAUGAACUAGGCCCUCAAUCAAUUGACUGUUUAUCAAAAACAUAGCUAAUAGCUUUCAAUUACUAGUAGUGCCUGCUCCA